rfam:Rattus norvegicus chromosome 16, whole genome shotgun sequence.
GGGGAUUUAGCUCAGUGGUAGAGCGCUUGCCUAGCAAGCGCAAGGCCCUGCGUUCAGUCCCCA